UCGGGAAUUUUGGGCAAUGGGCGAAAGCCUGACCCAGCAACGCCGCGUGAAGGAUGAAGUAUUUCGGUAUGUAAACUUCGAAAGAAUAGGAAGAAUAAAUGACGGUACUAUUUAUAAGGUCCGGCUAACUACGUGCCAGCAGCCGCGGUAAUACGAAGGGGGCUAGCGUUGUUCGGAUUUACUGGGCGUAAAGCGCGUGUAGGCGGGUCGUUAAGUUGGGGGUGAAAUCCCGAGGCUCAACCUCGGAACUGCCUUCAAAACUGGCGACCUGGACCUAAGUAGAGGCAAGUGGAAUUGCGAGUGUAGAGGUGAAAUUCGUAGAUAUUCGCAGGAACACCAGUGGCGAAGGCGACUUGCUGGACUUAUGGUGACGCUGAGACGCGAAAGCGUGGGGAGCAAACAGGAUUAGAUACCCCUGUAGUCCCUGAGCGGGCUGGCAAGGCGCAU
rnacentral:rRNA from 1 species